UACGGAGGGUGCAAGCGUUGUCCGGAAUCAUUGGGUGUAAAGGGUGCGUAGGCGGGCGUCUAAGUCUGGGGUGAAAUCUUGCCGCUUAACGGUAAAAUGGCCUUGGAUACUGGACGUCUUGAGUGUAGAAGAGGUAAGUGGAAUUCGUAGUGUAGCGGUGAAAUGCAUAGAUAUUACGAAGAACAUCAGUGGCGAAGGCGGCUUACUGGUCUACAACUGACGCUGAGGCACGAAAGCGUGGGGAGCGAAC
rnacentral:rRNA from 1 species